CACGUGGGUAAUCUGCCCUGCACUUCGGGAUAAGCCUGGGAAACUGGGUCUAAUACCGGAUAUGAACUCCUGCCGCAUGGUGGGGGUUGGAAAGUUUUUCGGUGCAGGAUGAGCCCGCGGCCUAUCAGCUUGUUGGUGGGGUAAUGGCCUACCAAGGCGACGACGGGUAGCCGGCCUGAGAGGGUGAUCGGCCACACUGGGACUGAGACACGGCCCAGACUCCUACGGGAGGCAGCAGUGGGGAAGUAUUGCACAAUGGGCGAAAGCCUGAUGCAGCGACGCCGCGUGGGGGAGUGACGG
rnacentral:rRNA from 1 species